AAAUUUCCAGCGAGGGAUAUCUUGGCUCCCAUGACGAUGAAGAACGCAGCGAACUGCGAUAAGCAAUGCGAAUUGCAGAACUCCGCGAGUCAUCAGAUCUUCGAACGCAAACUG
rnacentral:rRNA from 1 species